UACGUAGGGUGCAAGCGUUAAUCGGAAUUACUGGGCGUAAGCGUGCGCAGGCGGUUUUGUAAGUUUGUCGUGAAAGCCCCGGGCUCAACCUGGGAAUUGCGAUGAAGACUGCAAGGCUUGAAUCUGGCAGAGGGGGGGUAGAAUUCCACGUGUAGCAGUGAAAUGCGUAGAUAUCGGGAGGAACACCAGUGGCGAAGGCGGAACUUCCUGGCCUGUUCUUGCGCUGAGGCGCGAAAAGCUAGGGGAGCAAACGGGG
rnacentral:rRNA from 1 species